CUUUCAUUUUCAACAACUUUGAAGACAUAACUGAAGAAAACAUGCAUGUCAGUAGAGGCGGUACUGCAUAAUUUAGUCCACUAUAAAAGCAAGUAAAAACAGCAAGCAUCUCAUUCACUUUCGGAACACCUUAUUUUCAACAUUUUUAUUUUCCAUCCAAAAAAGUAACAACUGAUAAUUUGGGUAUGGGUAUCUUUAUCCAAGUAGCUACUUUGAUGAUUGUUCAGCAGCUCUUCCAUCUGGCAAGUUGUGAAACUAUAUGCAGUCCAUCCAGACCAGUAAGGAACAUCGUGAGCCAAGCCUCAGAUAAGCUUCAGCCGAAGUAUUCAUCAUCUCUUGACACAAACCCCAACGAAGAAGGAAACCCUGGACCGUUGAACAUCUCGAAGUUCACUUUAGUGGGUGUUGGGGCCAUUUUUGGUGUUUUGGUUAUUGGUGCUAUGGGGUGGCACUUUAAAACGAGGCAACCGAAACUUAUUUAAACAAUGCUGAUUAGCAGCAGGUGUCGCGCACAAGGAAGGUAAGGAAUGGUUUUUAACCGUGGCACGUCAUGGUGAAAGUUGAAUACCGAGGCAAGAAUCAAGCAUUUUCUUUUCUUUUAUUUACAAAUCUUUAUUAUGUUGACUAAUUAAAAGGAUUGGCAUAUCCAACUGGAAGAUUUUGUGUUUGUUAGUUUGUUUUUGGACUCACGCCAAGGAGCCACGCGUACUAAACCGAUCCAACAAAGAAAUGUGCGUCAACAGUGGGCCUUACCGCCCUCAGCAGAAGUGUCCUCAAUCAUAUCAACUCUGUAGGCUGUGCUGAGGAAGUAGGCAAAUCUGUUCUGUCAGUAACUAUGUUGUAACUGUGCAAUUUGGGCAAGUUAAGAAUGCUUUGAUCUCACACUGUGCCUUUCAAUGGAAAAAAUAAAUAAAUCAUCUUUUGAAUCUUAGAACAUAACAAACAAAACAGAAACCAUGAAGUACUGAAACCUUUCAUGCAGUCAUGUACAUUGUCUGAGAAUGAACCUAAACCUGCGCAGAGAAUAAAAAGCAUAAAACAUUA